GGGGCUGUAGCUCAUCUGGGAGAGCGCUGUCGUGGCACGGCAGAGGUAGUGGGUUCGAGGCCCACCAGUUCCACCA
rnacentral:tRNA from 1 species